AAGACUAUAUUUGCAAGGAUCAUUUCUAGAGUGAAACAUGUUUGAAGGGAUUGGUCUCGGUAUCCCCCAGGAGGAGCGGGAGUGUUUUCUUCUCAGCAACGAGCUGACAAUGAGUGUUGUUUUUGGGCACCUGCUCACAUGCUACUGAGACCACUCCAAUCUUCAGGGAGUCGGUGGAUUGUUGAAGGAAGGGACACAUUCUGAGUGCG
rnacentral:snoRNA from 1 species